CCCACUGUUCUUUUACCUGUGAUACCAAACAGAAAUAACAAAUUUGUUUUAAUUAGAGUGUUGAAAACUGAUUAGAGGAAAGCAAAGUUGCAGAUUAGCUGCAAAACAAAAACAAAAGGGAAAAAAAAAUCGGUGUUAUGUAAAAUGUAUCUGUUGGAUCUGGCUCGUGUGAAAUUCAUAAAUGUCACCACUGCAGUGAGAGUUCCCAAAGUAGCAUGAAACGCAAACAAUCUGUAGGAUUUAACACCCACUGCCUCGACACUUUUUCGCUCACACAUCCCAGAGAUCGAGAAAUCGCUCUGCAAACUGUGUCACGCAUGUUCAUUUGUUCUUCAAGACAUCCAGGUAUAGGCCCCUGAAAAAAAACAAAAGAACAAAAAAAGAGGCAAAACUUUAACUUUAUUCCUUCACAUUUUCAGCUGAACUCGUAUUUAAUGGGGCUUUUAGCCUUACCAGCAGUUACCAUGGCAGCCAUAUAUUGAGUGACAGCAAAGUGGUGCGCUAUUUCAGACUGGAUGCUUCCCCUAUUAAUGUCAGUCUAUCUCAGGUCAAGUCAGAUUAUCUUUAUUAUUUAAAGUGUGAUGCCAAAAACCGUGCUAAACUUUCUAAUCUUUAUAAUCACAUGCAUAUCAUUAUCAUUUUAACAGUAAAGAGGUUUUUUUCUAUUUGUUUUCAGUGGUUAACUUUGCUUUCUUUUCCUCGUAGUCAGUGAUAUCUUCUAAUUUGACUCUUAAAUGAACAAAACGAGAGCUGUGAUAUUUAAUUAGGCUUGUGAGAUUUGAUUUCCAGUUAAAUUAAAAUGCCACUUUGUCCUUUGUGUUCGCCAGCCUCUUUACUCUGUUGCUUCAGUGCACGCUGCGAUUCGCGCGAUGCAAAAAACGGCCAAGGGGAGGAAGCGAGGAAGAGGAGACAGCGUGAGGGGAAAGAGACAGACACUGACUUCUCAAGCUCUCACUGUUCGGCUCACCACUGUCAACCUCAGUGUUUGUCUUCCAGUUCAGCCUGUGGUCGAUGUGGAUGGUCAGCUUCUUCUACCACAUUAACAUCUGAGGAUAGACACAGGUAAUGUAGCAUUUAGAAGCAGAUCAUUCCUCCUAGACCACUGCACAAAAUCAUCUACUAGUGCUCUGUAUUCAUCCUCCUGCCCGUCACCGACACAGCCAUGAAUUCAACCAGUGUAAAACUGUUUGACUGUUUUUUUCCCAACCCAUUUUAAAUCUGUUCCAUUUCUGCCAACUUUGUAUGAAGUCGAGGCCAAAGGCUGAACUUUCCACAGGACAGCCUUGGUAGUGCUCCAGGGCCCAAAAUAUAGGAGGGUCCCCGUGGACACGCCUUCAAACGCACCUCUCUCUCACUGUACAGAUAUAUGCACUCUAGUAUAUGUUUAAGUCAUGAUUGUGAACCAAAGCCUAACUUAAUUUAUGCAGUACACAUUUUCCUUAUAAAUCGAAUUCUAGCUGCAAGUACCGUAUUUUCUUUUUGCAUGUCCAUUGAUUUCAUAUCAAUAGGCGUGCAAACUAUUAGCGCAUAAUAUUAGUUGCACAUUCUGACCUUGCAAUUUGUCAGUUCUGAUAGAUGCUUGCAAACCUGUUGAUCCGAACUUAGCACCAAUUAGUUCAUAAUUUGUAAUACAGCACAGUGGUGUUAUAAAUUAUGCUUAGCGAGCCAAAGCACAAAAAAAGGAAAUAAAGCAAAUGGUGGUCAAAAGAGGACAGAAAGCAGGAUGAGUAAACCACCAGGACUUUGGCAGUGUAAAUGACUGUGCUUGUUUCGCACAGUGACCCCAUCCAGUCAGUUUGUGAGGACGUUUUCUCUGUUUGUCCACGCUUACAGACAUUACAGUUGUCUUCAUGUUACUUUAGCGAGGCUGAAUCUGUGCUGGGAUUGUGCUAGCCUAGUAGAAGAAGAUGGUGUGACUUUGUAGAACAAGCUUACAUAAAUGUGCCCAAACCUCAAACUGUAGUUGUUGCCAAAAGUUGGGAGGAUGAUAUUGAUAUUAUUGAUUAAUGUCUAUGAUUAUAGAUGUGUGUUUAUGUGUGUGAGAGAGAGAUAUCAAGAGAGAGACAAUGUCAACGCCAUGUUACUGGGAUAAAGUUAGUUUUUUUUGUUUUCUAUUAAAAUAAAUACAACUAAACUGGACAAAUAUGAAUUCAGUGAGGAAAGGUUACCUUCUGUUUUUCUUUGAGUUUAAUAUAUUUUGCAGUCUCCUCUUUCUACCUACUCUUCUAUCUUGAUCGUGAAUGAAUGAAUAUAAAUAAAUAGUCCACGCUUCAUGAGAUUUUUGACCAAAGCAGCACUAGAAAAGAAAGCAAGUCCUCUUUGUCCUCUAUGAAUGUGUUUCCAAUCACAUCCCAGUAAAUCCCUUUGCAAUAAUGAAUGAGAUACACGCUCAAUUCAUCUUCCCGAAAAAGCCGGGGCUGUCUAAUUUGUACAAACAUUUCUUUGGGUGGAAGCAAUUAACAGCCGUGAUGCACUAAGGUGACACUGCUGAGCUGAAUCAUACCUCAAAUGGUGAACCAAAAUAAGAACCAACGUGUUUCUCUUUAGUUAAAUUCAUUAGGGCGGAGAAGCCAUUAUCUCAGUAAACUGCCCUGGCUGAAUAAUUAAUCAUCCCAUCACUUGUUUGUUUGGUCUAAAUGUAUAACAUUUAUUCCUCGCUCCUUCCAGCCUAAUGAAAUCCUUACAUUGAUAUGAGUAAAAUGUUGGUUCUUCAUGCUCAGCCCAGCAAAGUCGUGGUGGAGGCUUGAUUUGGUUAAUGCAUAAUAAAUUACAGUUAUUAUGCACUUUUGAUAUAGAAGGUCAGAAAAUCCUUGAGGCCUUUUGGAAGUAAGAACUAAAAGUAAAAUUCUUCAUCUAAAACACACAUAUCAGGAGUACCUGUAAGUUUAUUAUUAAGUUGUGCUUUUUAAUGUAGUAACGCUACUGACACAAUCCUGCUUCUGUCAUGUGACUUAUUAGUAAAAUAAAAGUAGCAACACUGCAAUGUUAAUGUUGUAUUAAAGGUAAUAUUAAAAGGAAAUUUUACGUGGGUAAAAGGCAGAUAUGGAAAUUGUUGGCAAUGUAUUUGAAAUGAGUACUCAUGCUUAGUGUGGGAAGAUGGUUCCUGUGACUGUUACACUAUCCAGCAUACAAUGUAACAAAAAGAAUCAGAUGAAUUCAAAGUGCUUCAUUCUGCAGCUGCUCACCGUUAACGAUCGGAACACGUACCGUUAGAAAACACGGAUUCGUGAGUUUCACUUGGUUGCGGGUAGGUAGCAUAAGGACAGCAGUGCUCACAAAAGUAUGGUUAGACUGUGGUGUGAACAGUCUACACAUUGAGCAUUUGUGAUAUUGUAGGUUUUGCGUGUAAAACGCUAUAUUCAGCCAUUUUUAAAUUUACCGCAAGUUUCCAUAUUUGUUACUUGAAAAAAAGUAUCGCCUUUUGAUAUUGGAUGGUGCUCUUUGAUACACUUUCACUAUAAUCAUUCUUACUCAUGCAAUUUAUUGUUGACCUGACUGCUGAUAUAUUUUUUAAAGAGUACAAGACAUUUAUUAUUGUCUUAUUUUGCUCAGCUAGUAGCGACACAAUAUAACUAUCUACCAGUUCUUGUAGAGCACCUUUCUACUCAACCUGAGCACUCAAAGCCUUUUAUACAACAUGUCUCAUUCACCCAUUCAUAAAAGCACAAUUUUUUCUAUGUUUACAUGCUUUCUGUCUAGUAUUCACCGACAAUCACGCUGUGAUGGAUGCAUCGGAGAGCAACUUGGGCUGAGUAUGUUGUUCAAGCAUAUUUGGCGUCCGGGCUGGAGCAGCCAGGGAUCGAACCACCAACUUUCAGAUUAGCAGACGACCUGCUCGCCAUCGGCCACCACCAACUGUCUCAGUCACACUAGAUUAAAAAUAGAAGGACAACCUCAUCGCUACAAUCUGUGGUUGCCAAGUGAUUACAGUGAAUCUUUUUCCUCAUUCAUCAAUUGAUUACAAGUAAGUGGAGUGACCAACUAGCUACCUAGAGGUGGAGUAUGUAACCACUUAUGAUCGCAAGGCAAUUGCAAUGGUCACCUGGCGGGA
rnacentral:lncRNA from 1 species